rnacentral:misc_RNA from 1 species
CUGAGGAAGAAAUUUUGCCUGGCAGGCCACUUCCACCUGAAUGCCAUACUGAGCUUCAUACUGAUUAUGGUGGUGCAGCUGUCAGAUGGGGUCUUACCCACCAUAAAGAAAGUGCAGCUGACUGCUGUCAAGCUUGCUUAGAUCAGGCAAAAUAUGCAAAGCCAGGUGAAAUGAAAUGCAAUAUGUGGGUCUAUUGCCCUUCAGAGAUGGGAUGCUAUUCACCAGAUAUCUAUCAGCAUAAAAAUCAGGAGUGCUGGCUGAAAUAUGCUGAAAAGCC